GCACGGUUAAAUAACAAAAAUAUAACUAGGUUAUGAUUGCUGUAUGUAUAUAGGUGACUCUAAGACCAGUGUGAUUCUGCAAUCUGUACAAUUAGAAAAAUGAGAAAUUAUACCCCAGUGAUUCAAGUGUAUGAAUUGCCAAGAUCAUUGUAAUAUCAUGAAUAGCUAAUAUAAAUAAAUAAAUUUUAAAAAUAUAGCUAGGCAUAAAUAUCUACAGAUUGCUUUGGCUAACAGUCCUAGGAUAGAGAAAAUUAUCCUGCCACACCGGCAGGGAGCCCCCCACAGCCCUGCAGCAGUGCCCAGUUCAAGGAGAGGCAAUCAAGAGGAUGAUGGCAAGAUAUUUUGAGAUAUCUUUGUUCUUUCUGUUCUGGAAUUUCACUCCCUGGCCCUACCCGCUGUCUGUAGCAGCCAAGUUCAUUGCUCCAGGGGAGGGAAGUGCCAGAGAAGAAAGGAGAAACAAAGGACUUGGCUUACAUCUCCUACAGCCCAGAACCCUCUGGGCACAGAGCUUUGCAAAAGUUAUAUUUGGGUGUGAGGUAGGAGGUCAAAAAGCCUGUGGGUUUGUCCACAGUGAGAGGAAAGAUGAAAGAAAACAAGUGUAGACACCCGGUAAGUCUGCCAUCUUGUGUGUGUGUGUGUGUGUGUGUGUAGGGGGGUAUCCUUUCUUGAUUCCACUUCCUCUUCCAGCUACUGCCUCAUUUCUUUGCUCCCUUUUAUAACUAAACUCCAAAAAAUUGCUUGGAUUCACUGUCUCCAAUUUCUCCCUCCCCGUUUGCUCUUAAGCCCCCUCAACUUCGGAUUUCUCACUUCCUAUUUUCUCCCCAACCUACUUUUGUCAGGGAUACUGUACAACCUCCUUGUGAUUAUUAAGUCCUUUGGCCAGUUUUCUGGUCUCAUCUUAC
rnacentral:lncRNA from 1 species